rnacentral:ncRNA from 1 species
UACACCUGAAAUAAGCAAGAUUACCCGCUGAACUUAAGCAUAUCAGUAAGCGGAGGAAAAGAAACUAACUAGGAUAGCCCCAGUAAUGGCGAAUGAACAGGCUAAAGCUCAAAGUGAAAAUCUGAAGUGGUCAACACGGAAGAAUUGUAAUCUAAAGGGUUAACCCAAAGCUAAGCUCCUCGAAUAAGUUCCUUGGAACAGGACGUCAAAGAGGGUGACAACCCCGUAGUCGUCGAGGAAGCUGGUGAAGGGAAGACUUCAAAGAGUCGGGUUGUUUGGGACUGCAGCCCUAAGUGGGAGAUAAACUUCUUCUAAAGCUAAAUAUACACGGGAGACCGAUAGCGAACAAGUACUGCGAAGGAAAGAUGAAAAGAACUUUGAAAAGAGGGUUAAAAGACUUGAAACCGUUGAGAAGGAAGCUGUAGAAGAGCAAUAAACUGGACGGCGCAUAAGGGGGAAGCGUUACUCACUGCAAAGUCGAUACGAAAGGUCGAUGAGUAAGGAAAGGACGCAGAACUUGCUACGCCGGUCAGAAGACAAAAUGAGUUUUGAUUAGAGGAGUCACCUGAGAUUGGGCAGCAAUGCAGAUCAAAAGGGAAACUCUAAAUGAGACUGAGGGGCCUACGGGCGAUUUUG